GACGAACGCUGGCGGCGUGCUUAACACGUGCAAGUCGAACGAUGAAGCCGGAGCUUGCUCUGGUGAAUUAGUGGCGAACGGGUGAGUAACACGUGAGUAACCUGCCCUUGACUCUGGGAUAACUGCUAGAAAUGGUAGCUAAUACCGGAUACGACCCUCGGAGGCAUCUCCAGGGGGUGGAAAGAAUUUCGGUCAAGGAUGGACUCGCGGCCUAUCAGCUAGUUGGUGAGGUAACGGCUCACCAAGGCGACGACGGGUAGCCGGCCUGAGAGGGUGACCGGCCACACUGUGACUGGGACACGGCCCAGACUCCUACGGGAGGCAGCAGUGGGGAAUAUUGCACAAUGGGCGCAAGCCUGAUGCAGCAGCGCCGCGUGAGGGAUGACGGCCUUCGGGUUGUAAACCUCUUUUAGUAGGGAAGAAGCGAAAGUGACGGUACCUGCAGAAAAAGCACCGGCUAACUACGUGCCAGCAGCCGCCGUAA
rnacentral:rRNA from 1 species